rnacentral:rRNA from 1 species
GACGUAGGGGGCCAGCGUUGUUCGGAAUUACUGGGUGUAAAGGGUUCGUAGGCGGUGCGGCAAGUUGGGAGUGAAAUCUCUGGGCUUAACCCAGAGGCUGCUUCCAAAACUGCUGUGCUUGAGCGUGGGAGAGGCGCGUGGAAUUGCAGGUGUAGCGGUGAAAUGCGUAGAUAUCUGCAGGAACACCCGUGGCGAAAGCGGCGCGUGGACCACUACUGACGCUGAGGAACGAAAGCUAGGGGAGCAAACAGG